GAUGAACGCUGGCGGCGUGCCUAAUACAUGCAAGUCGAGCGAACAGACGAGGAGCUUUCUCCUCUUACGUUAGCGGCGGACGGGUGAGUAACACGUGGAUAACCUACCUAUAAGACUGGGAUAACUUCGUGAAACCGGAGCUAAUACCGGAUAAUAUAUUGAACCGCAUGGUUCAAUAGUUACAGACGGUUUUGCUGUCACUUAUAGAUGGAUCCGCGCCGCAUUAGCUAGUUGGUAAGGUAACGGCUUACCAAGGCGACGAUGCGUAGCCGACCUGAGAGGGUGAUCGGCCACACUGGAACUGAGACACGGUCCAGACUCCUACGGGAGGCAGCAGUAGGGAAUAUUCCGCAAUGGGCGAAAGCCUGACGGAGCAACGCCGCGUGAGUGAUGAAGGUCUUCGGAUCGUAAAACUCUGUUAUUAGGGAAGAACAAAUGUGUAAGUAAAUAUGCACGUAUUGACGGUACCUAAUCAGAAAGCAACGGCUAACUACGUG
rnacentral:rRNA from 1 species